rnacentral:rRNA from 1 species
AACUUUCAACAACGGAUCUCUUGGCUCUGGCAUCGAUGAAGAACGCAGCGAAAUGCGAUAAGUAAUGUGAAUUGCAGAAUCCAGUGAAUCAUCGAAUCUUUGAACGCACAUUGCGCCCGCCAGCAUUCUGGCGGGCAUGCCCUUUCGAGCGUCAUUU